rnacentral:lncRNA from 1 species
UUUUCGCUUCUGAAUCACAAAGUCCCCUCUGUUUGUUCAUAAAUCUCUGCAUUCUCCAAUGCCGAUUCUUCUUACACUCUGUAAGUUUCACAAUUUCGCCUCCUUAAUCGCUGAAUCGACGUUAUUUUCAGUUUCAAUUUUUCAACUUUUGUUCAUUAGUUUCAUUUAUUUGAUCUGUUAAUUGUUGGGUAUCCUUGAUUUGUAUUGUUUCUGUAUGUUUGAUAUGAGAUCUGGUUCAUUUUAAUGUUGAAAAUUAGACUUUGUGAGUAGAUAAUGUAGGAUGCUAGAAGUUGUGUAGUUUAAGUUUGAUGAUUGUUUUUUGUUACUGUAUGUUGAUAAAAGUUUGUGUGUAGGAAUAAAUUAGACAUGUGUAUUUUGUUUCCAUUUUUGACCUUUACAAGCAACGUGUGUGUUUUUUUUCUUGUUUACUUUUCAGAUUGUAAUUUAGGGAACUGAAUGAUGCUGAAAAUAGUUGUUGAUUGUCAGAGCAUUCACAUCCAAAUAACUAAAUUAUGUGUGUGGUGUUUUUAAAAUAUAAAGAGUAUAAAAAGUGGUUGUGAGUGGAGGAGAGAUAAAAUGUUAUUGUUCAUCUGUAUAUUUGGGGGACACUGUUCACCCCCUAUAAUUUUUUAAUAUAUUUUGAAAGUGGUUGUGAGUGGAGGAGAGAGAAAAGAUAAUAUUAAAGGUAUAAAAAAUAUUAUUUAAUUAAAAAGGAGAGAGAAAAUGUAGUGUAUUUUAGUAUAAUUUAGGGUGAAAAUAUGGUGGAUUGAAUGUGAAUGCUCUCAAGUGUUUUUUUUUUUUUUUUUUUUUUUUUUAAACACGAAUUAAAUUCUGGACCCUCUUUGAGUCGUUAAUACAAAAAUCAUUAGAAAUUUACAGUAGAGUGGCAGGUAAACGGGCAACUAGCUGCGCUGCAACCCCUUUUGAUUAGCAAACCCGAUCCUGAUUUUUGGCUCUUGUCAUGUGCUUUUUAGUUUUUACGGUUGCGAGGGGGUUGUAGUUUAGUUUGUGUUUCGUGAUAAUGUAAAAAAGUUGUCAAAUACAAGAAGUCAAGAAUUCGGUGUGAUUGCUUAAGCUGCACUUUACCUAGUCUUAACCGUUAGCAGGGUAUUGGUGGGGCCAUCAGUUUUCCCUAAAGGGUAAUAAUUGCUAAAAAAGUAAAAAACAAACGGUUAUUAAUUGUAUUUUCAAAGAAAGAGUAAGUUUGAACGGAAACUUAAACUUAAUCCUCGUUCAUUUGUAACGGAAAGAGAGAAACCUUUUUUUUUUAAAUCACAUGGUGCGGUUAAGUGAUGAAGAGAAGAUCUUUUCAAUGUGUAAUUAGUUAUGUUAGUUUGGUUCCCUCCAUUUAGCAGAGCCUUUACAGAUUGUUUUCUCUUGGUACAAUAGUACAUCUGCAUUUACUCAUUUUUAUAGCCUGUAACCAUCAACAAAGAGUCCAUUAAUAUAUAGUCCUCUUCAGUCUUCACUGACUUAUAUCAAUCAAUAGAUACAUCCUUAGAUUAAAAGAAUUAAACACUUAUUUCAAUCCAGAAGUAAAUUAAGAUGUUAGAGUUCUUUAUGGUCAUAAUGCACAUGCCACAUGGGGAGCUUUAUGUUAACUUGGUAACAUAAUCGAAACGUUCUGAAAAGUAGCGGUGUGAAUUUUCUGACACGACUUGAACCUAACACGAAAUUCACAGGUUUGGGUUUUGGGUCUAAACCGGUUUGGGUCAUUUUCAGGUUGAACCCGCUAACCCAUUUAGCUAAAUGGGUUGGGUUCGUGUCAACCCGGUUGGGUUGGCGGGUUGACCCGUUUAACCCAUUUAUAUUAUAUUAUAUUUUUUUACAUAUGUUUAUGUCAUAAAUUAAAUUGGGUGUGUAUUUUAUGUCAUAAUUAUAAAUUUAUAACUUAAAAAGAAAAUAUGACAUCAAUUUUAUUAUAUAUAUUUGUGUUUUUUUAUAGUAAAAUUUUAAAUUUAAUAUAUUAAUUUGC